rnacentral:lncRNA from 1 species
GUCCACUUGCUGGAAAUGUGCGAAGUUUCCACUCCAGUUACAUAUAGCUUCUGUUUGUGACUAGUAAGCACUGAAUAAAUAUUUCUAAGCUGCUUACUAAUCCAGAAUUGCAUGUUUUUCUGCAGAUCUAUUUCUUCUUUUCCAGGCCUACUAAUUCCACAUUAGUGUCUCAGUCAACAUAUUUCAAGCCAUCUCGAAUCUAAUCGCCCCUUGGUGAUUCAGGGGACUGAGACACAGGGAGAAUGGAAGAUUACCUUUCAGCAACCUGGCUUUUAUUAUCCUUUUCUCCUAUUCAACCCAACUCAUCCUCUUGCCUGAGGAAAUAGAGCUGAAAUGUAAGGAUCUUCAAAACCGUUGCACAAUCAACCAACUUUUCUGCACAAGCUGUGUCUACUGCCCUUGCUGCCUAUUCUGUUUGGAAGCAAGAGAAUAACAGAAGAAACAAGUGACCAAAGAAUGAAUAACAUGUCCAGCCUUUUGUAUUACUCCUGAUAUCAUAAUAAGACAUUGUGUGUUUUAUUCACAUGGAUCUUGGCCAUAUAUUGAGUACAGUGAAACCUCACUGGCUUCAAUGUACACUAGACCAGGCAAAGAGCAAAUAGUGGCACCAAAGCCAUCCCUACCGCCCAUCCCAUGCCCCUUCUGAGCAACACCUGAAAACCUCUGUAGCAUAUUCCUGUAAAUUCUACCAGGUAGUUAACAUCUG